rnacentral:rRNA from 1 species
GACGAACGCUGGCGGCGUGCUUAACACAUGCAAGUCGAACGGUGAAGCGCCUUCCUUUUUGGUGGGUGUGGAUGAGUGGCGAACGGGUGAGUAACACGUGAGUAACCUGCCCCCUUCUUCUGGAUAACCGCAUGAAAGUGUGGCUAAUACGGGAUAUUCUGGGUCUGUCGCAUGAUGGGUCUGGGAAAGAUAUUGUUUCGGUGGGGGAUGGGCUCGCGGCCUAUCAGCUUGUUGGUGGGGUGAUGGCCUACCAAGGCGGUGACGGGUAGCUGGCCUGAGAGGGUGGACGGUCACACUGGGACUGGGACACGGCCCAGACUCCUACGGGAGGCAGCAGUGGGGAAUAUUGCACAAUGGGCGCAAGCCUGAUGCAGCGACGCCGCGUGAGGGAUGGAGGCCUGCGGGUUGUGAACCUCUUUCGCCAGUGAAGCAGGCCUGCCUCGUUUGUGGGUGGGUUGACGGUAGCUGGAUAAGAAGCGCCGGCUAACUACGUG